rnacentral:lncRNA from 1 species
UAAUACAUUUGAAUACUAGCAUAAAUAGCGAACAAUCAACUAAUAGUUAGAAUAAAGUUUCAAAUCACUAAUAAUAAGAUAAUUAAUAUAAUUCUUUAAUCAGAUUCCUUCAAUCUUUUAGUAUGUGGUUCAAUAUCAAAGUUGCUUCUUCCACUGGAUUCUGCUCCAUCCCUCUUGAUAUAAUCAUUGUAGCUUCUCUUAACCAAGGCACCAUCCAUUUCUGAUUCAUCAAGCACUUGGUGAACAACAUCAAAAUUCUCAUAAUUAG